GGGUGGGGUCCAGGUCUGGCCAAGUCUCCCUCACCUCGGGCCCAGGAAGUGGCUUUCCAGCUGGCUCAGAACUGGGUCCGAACCAACUUUGAGGUCUACUCCAGAGACUCGGCCAUGUAUGAGAAGUAUGACAUCAGCAAUGGUGGUCAGCCAGGUGGUGGAGGGGAGUACGAGGUUCAGGAGGGCUUUGGCUGGACCAAUGGAGUGGUCCUGAUGCUCCUGGAGCGCUAUGGUGACCGGCUGAGCUCGGGCAGCCAGACAGUUUUCCUGCAGCCCCA